UUAUCCGCCAAAAUGACUGAAACACCCCUUCAUUCAAAUUCAAUUAGGGUUGGUUUCUUACACUUUCUAAGCGCAGUUUUUUGCUAUUCCCUAUCAUCCUCACAUGGUAGAACCACUUUGUCUUCUUCCCAUUUUUUAUGAAUGUUUAGUCCUUCAUCAACCAUGGCAGGGUUUGACCUUCCCAAUUUGUGCAAGUCUCGGUACCACCAACACAAGAGGCCAACAAACAUCUUGAAAUCAGAUUUUUCUACACAGAGAAAAUCAAAAAGCAGAGAUUCAAUUCUAAUCCGUGACACCCUCUGCUGCACCCUCAAACGGCUAUAUUUUGAGAUCAAAAUCCUGCUCACAAAACCCUACUUUUCUACUCCUAUAAAUAUCUCUUUUAGCUCUUCAGCCGGACGAAGCUUGAACGAUGGAAAACUCUCUCAUUUAAGCUAUUUUCUACCAUUUCUCAAAGAAAAUUGUAGCAUUUUGUUAUCUCUCAAUCUCUAUCCGUUUCUAUUUUGUCAAAAGAGAGUAGAUCUGAGACCCCGACAUCUUAGUUCACUGCACCCACAAGAGGUAUGGAUUUUACAUUGGCGUACGUCUGUGAUCAACAAUUGACGAGAACCAAGGACAUCACAAAAUGGAGCUAGAAAUUUAGACAU